rnacentral:misc_RNA from 1 species
AACAUCGCGCACCUGCGGGAACCUGCGGAAGGAUCAUUACCGAGUGCGGGUCCUCGUGGCCCAACCUCCCACCCGUGACUAUUGUACCUUGUUGCUUCGGCGGGCCCGCCAGCCCUGCUGGCCGCCGGGGGGCGUCUCGCCCCCGGGCCCGUGCCCGCCGGAGACCCCAACAUGAACCCUGUUCUGAAAGCUUGCAGUCUGAGUGUGAUUCUUUGCAAUCAGUUAAAACUUUCAACAAUG